GUUUUUUGAAAAGUGAACUACUCCUUUAAUGGGCGCGCGUGCUGAACAUUCAAGUCAAGUCAUUCAUCAUUUCACUGGAGCGGAGGGAGUAACCACGGAAACGCCAAACGGAGUGGGGACUCACCUGACGACAAGCUGCAAAAACUGUGUUGUUUUCAUGCCCUUCAGGAACACCAGAAAAUUUACAAGGAAACACAGAUGUUGCCAUAAAUCGGCAUGAGAAGGCAACUGUUGGGCCAGGUCAUGGAUAAUAAUUUGUCAGACCUGAGGUUCCAGAAUAAGAGUGUAUGCACUUGAGAGCUGUGUGUUCAACUGUACAAAUAGAUUUAACAAGAAAUAUCUUUUUACAGACUGCCAAAAGUUCCAGAAAAGAGAAGCAAAUAGAUUGCUGCAAUUCGCAGAAACGGCUGGAAUCCAGGCAGCAAAACAUGAAGUGAAUGGGUUAAAAUUGUUGAAUUUAGUGGGAAAAUCAUAUCCUCGGUCAUAUAUUGUAUUGGCAACUCAUCAAUUAAAUAUUUACCAUCUAAUAUUCUGGAUAACUGUAAAGUUCUUGUCGGUUUUUAUGAAUAUGAUUCCUGGGCAUAUGGCAAUGUCCAUUGACCACAGUCUUUUUGGUAAGUUUGUAUAAGUAUCGAGUCCAACUGCAAAAAUGUUUGUUGCUUGUUUUAUUUCCGUUUUUGCAAUUUCCUUUAUUAAAGACAGUAAUGCUGUAGGAUGUUUUGCCCCUCCGAUGAGGGGACGUGUCCCAGCAGGUAAGUAGCCUGAGGAAAAAGUCAAUAUUUUUAUUUAUUAUUAAAUUGUUUGGUAUACUUAUCAUUUUGUUUCUGUGCAGAUAAUUUUAUAGAUGCUGUGUACUUUUACUUUUUGUUGACAUAAA